GCGAGGUGCAGGGGAUGGGAAGGUGGCGGUAGUGUCACAGCCUCGAUCCUGGGCCGAGUGCAGUGAGAGUCGAAGGGGCGGGAGCUGGCAGGAGCUGCAUAGCUGGGAGCGGCCAGUGGGGCUUCUCUCUUCACGCGCAGGUAGGGCGCUGGUGCAGCUUUGCUGGCACAGCCCAGAAGCACUCUGUGUUCAGCUUUCCAGAGGUCGCGGGACACAGCCCUGCCUCCUGCAGGCCAAGGCUCUCACCCCCAGGGCCCCGCUGGCUGCUGCGCUUGAGGGCCACCUGGGUCCUAACGAAGGGAAGGAUGGAAGGGCGGGCGUCAGCCCUAGGCAGGAGCCCCGCGCCCUGAGGAACCCGGUUGCCCUCCCAUCGGGACGCAGCCAGCACUCCGGCCUGGAAGGUUCCUGCUCGCUGCAUCACCAGGAGAAGGCAAUGGCCUGACCUGACCUGAGUGAGGGCAGCUGAGAAUGCGGAGAAGAGAGCAGAGCCGCGGCGUGGAGAAUCGCCUCUGCUGCAGAUUCCCAUGAUGCUGCGAGGAUUGUGAUCACAGAAGAAAGGCAGGGAGACUGGGGGCUCAGGAGCUCAGGGGCGCUCUUCUCUGGAGAGCUGUGGCAGCCCACUCUGGAGAAGAACAAACCCGGUCUCCACUCUCAUGGUGUCGAGCUCCCGUUUAGACACCAGGAUCUGUGAGGACCUGAACACACCAUGCACGGAGGCGUGCAGGCAUCCGAGUCAAAGCGGGUUGCUAGAGGAAGUGGGGUACCCAGGCUGGAAGGGGUCCGAGCACACCAUGUCUCACUGCAACCCACAGGGCUCUCCCUACGCCCGAGCAAACAGCAGCUCCUCGUGGGCUGCCAACGACCUUGGGGAUGCAGGGAAACAACUGCUGCAGAACAGAAGGACAAAAGCUGGCCCAGAGCACUUCCGGACGCUUCUGGACCCCACUGAGAGCAUCUGAUCACACACUUGCCAGCAAGGGCCAGUCCACUCAGCAGUGGGGUGGGCAGAUGGCGCCGGCCAGGAGAUGGAAGCCUGCUACUGCUGUACAUUCCCUUGUCCUGGCAUCGGCCAGUCUGUUCAGUGCAACUGCUGAGAAUGACCUUAAGAUAUAAUGAGUCUGCAAAGAUUUAAAAAAAUCUACACGUUGCCAGCUCCUCCUACUGACGGUGUGGGCCGGAGUUGCCUUUCCAGUGUGUGACUGCUCAGUGUGCAGGUUCCCAGCUGGGAGGACGGCCGGGCUCAGUCACAGCAAGGACAAGGUCUCCCCCAGUGUUGCCACCAAAAGCUACACGAGGUGAGCAGGCGCAGGGCGCUUUUGUGUGUGGCAUGACACGUUCUCACCAUGCAGUCUCUUUAAAACUGAGGAGGAGGAGCACGAAAGGAAGCAUCUGGGAACACGCGACCUCCUCGGCUGGGGACCACUGGUCUUGGGCCUGCAAGUGACGUGCGUCUCGGGCCAGCUGGGACCUCUGAGACAGAAGCACGCUCCUCUCCCUUCCAGGCCGGCACUGUGUGAUGGCGCCAGCGUGAACACACUAGCAUCAUUCAACGGAGAAAACCUUCUAGGCCUCGGUUUCAGGCCACUGGAGCAGUUGUAAAUCAGCCCCUGAGAUGUGGGGGGCUUUACAGCAAAGCCAUGUGGCUACUAAGCGCUGAUUUCAAGGAAGUGGCUGCUCAGGGUCCCUGAUGACUGUCAAAACUUCAUGUGGGGGAAAGAUCUGGAAGCCCCGAGCAGUAUCUCAGGGCUGCCACAUCCUCCAAGGAGACUGUGCUAACGAAAGCUUUGCCAACCACAGUGCCAUGCUCAGAAUGCCAAACUGUUCCUGACUUCUGGAGUGUGACGGGUUCAAGCAAGACAUAUAGAGGGUGAGCCUGAGUGGAAGCCCUGCCAUAGGAGAUGGAGUCCAGAGCCCAUGCAGGCACCACCUUGCUGCCCAUGAGUUUAAUCAAGAAAAGAGCUCCCACCGAGGGCAUUUCCAUCCGCGGGGGGCCAGCCUGAGGUACCCAAAAAAUGAGUCCUGGGAGCUGCGCGCUGUUUCUCUCCCUACAAUGCCAGGUGUGUGGCAAGUCCUCCACAAAGGCUGGCAGAACUCCUCACCGGCCCACACAGAGGUUUGCUCAGCAGCCGCCUCCUCAGAGUGAGCACAGCCUGGCUCAGCCGCCCACACCCAGCAGCCAGUCACACCAAGAGUGAAUCGUUCUCACUCGGUCACUGCACUCGGGAGUUCACAUCCAGAAGAAGAGACUUUCCGGAAGAAAAUUUUGUCUUCAGGGGAGGUAACAACACCUAUUUACUCACUGCAGUAAAAACACUUCACAUCUUCUUAUGUCUUCCAUAUUUAAGGAAUAUCCAGUGAUCACAAAAUUUUUGCACUAUUUAAGAGACAAAUUCAAAUUCAACUUUGCAUGAUUUUGGGGGGGGGUAGUAUGAUUGUUCAUAAAUAUUUCCUUUUCUCUUAAGUAACAGACCUUUUUAAAAAAUCCACUGAACCCAAAUAUAUGAAAAGAGUUAGGUAGAGUACUGGAGGAGAGAAGACACAGCCUUGGCCCCUCGUGUUCUGCUAAGUGACUGCAGGACCAACCCCAGGCUGCAGGGAACGACAUCUGAGAACAGUGGGACACUGGAUCUAAAUGCAUUUGAGUUUAAAAUCAGGUUCUCUCACCUCUUACUUGGAUGAAGUAAGUUUCUUUACACAUGUUCCUGGUCAAUAAGCCCUGUAGCAUUGUUUUUGAGGAUUAAUUAAUACAGCAAAUAUUUGCUGAGCACCUACUAUAUACUACAAGGAGAUGGCACUAACUGCUGGGGGCUCACCAAAGAACAAAACAGAGAAAAGCCUGGGCCCUGUGGAGCUUGUAUUCCACUGGGGAAAGACACACAACGUAAAAUAUAAAAACACGUGUGAGUCCUAGGUGAUGACAGGAGGUAAAGCAGAGGAGACGGUCAGAAAUAAAGAGGGUUACAAGGAUAGAAUCCAUAAAUGUGUGGUCAAGGAGGCCUCACUGGGGUAUCGUUUGGGCCAGUGGAACAGCCAUGCGGAUAAGAGAGAAGAGAUGCAACUGCAGUGCGUACUUAAUAAAUCUGUGUUCCAUAAAUCAUGCUCAUUACGAUCGCAACCAGGACAAUAGGAACAAAGGAAACACGUGACCAGGAUCACAAAUCCCGUCUUCACCUCCUUCCACUUGGGCCUUGAGCCAUUUAUAAGCAUGACCUCUCCAGGAUGGAAUUUCCUACAAAUGAUCACGAGGGUGAAAUAAGAAAUGUGUCUGUGGAAGCACAAAGAACAUCAGUAAGAAAACGCCAAUACUGCGCCCAGCUCAUUUCUGAGACCAUCUCUGCACCCUAACAGGCCACCACCCGCCGUCCUCCAAGGCAGCCCAGGAGCGCUAAGGCAGACAAGGCUGGUUUCCAGCCUCAGAAGCCUGAACCCUGACCAGGUGCACCUGCGGGGCUCGGCGCCGGAGUGCCGAGUCUGCUCAGGCUGGGUGGGUUUAUCACCAAUUCCCCAUCUGGGCGGCUUUGGGGCUCCUCAACCUUUCUUUUGCUUUCCUACAGGUUUAGCGCCUUUCAUUCACUCACUCAACAAACAUUUAGUGAAUGCUUACAAUAAACAGAGGCAAAUGUGGGUCUGGGGAAAGGGAGUGAACUAAACCAGGACGCAGCCUGAACAAACCCCAGGGCACACACGGAGGACAGGAUGGGGGAAGGAGGAAUGGAAUCCACCCCCCCACCCCCACCCCGCCUCUGGGAUUCCUCGGGUCUGGACAAGUCCAAGCCUCGCACACGGCACUGGGUAACUGUAAACAAACCAGCGCCCUCAGGCUACCACUGCACUUGGCAGUGCCACCCCAAAGCAAAUCCAGGCGCUGCAAAUAGGAAUGCGGAGGGGCAAGAGGGUUUCUAGUCAUUUGUCAAAUGCCUGCCCCACGCUGGCCACCAGCUGCCAGAACUCAAAGCCCAGCUUCUGCCCACCUCUCCCUCCUGCUUUGUCCCUUCCCUUUCCAGGCAUCCAACACAGUCCAACCUCACCCAACCCGGACUUCCUGGGGUGCAAACUUCCUGCAAGUAGGAACAUAAAUGACAGAAAGCAAAACCAACAAACUCCAUGUCCAGCUGCCCAUUUCUCAGCUGGUAAAGCUUCUUCCUCCAGCCCCUUCCUGGGCCUUUCCAACCUUUCUCUGUUGGAAACUUUGCUUUCAUGGUUUACCAAUCUUUCCUCCUCCGCCUUACCCAUGAGAAUUUACAUAGGAGAGCAAGAAUGGGCAAUCUUCUCUUUACUGUGCCCUGCCACUGAUAGAACAGAAAAUACUGGGCGUCUAUUUUCUGCCACCUACAGUCUUUCAAACACCUUUGCGAGACAGCUGUCUUCUCCGUUUUAUAAACACACGGAUGUGGGCACUGUGAGGUGACUACUCUGUCAAAACCAAGCGACAGUAAACGACCACAUCAUCCCUGCACCUCUCAUUUCCCAUCUCAAGUGACGAGGGUCUCCAGGUCUCUGUGCCCGACAGGGCUGUCUGGCAAACAGCCCAGGGAAGUGUCGGCCUCCCUGCCUGGCCUCCCAGAUGCCUUCCAACUCUGAAGCUCUGAAGCGACCCUGGCUAGGGAAGGCUGUUCACACCUGAGCACUUCCGGUGCCAACUCCAAGACUGGGCCUUGUUUCAUAGUCCCCUCAGAGAAAGGCCGUCUGGCACGUGUGGGCCAACGCGAAUUGCUCCCUACACAGCGCCAUCUCAGUUUUGUGCAAAGUCUACACCUACUUCAUUGCUUCUACUCUGCCUUUGUGACUAUCCCCGAGCAAAAGAAUAAAUAAUCUAGAGUGUUAACACUUGCUAAAUAUCACUUUCUUACAAAAGCAAUAAGCUUCUCUUGUCUUAUGUUCCAGUGGUUAGCAGUUUAGAGAUCAAUCAAGUUAACUGCAUGCUAAAACAGAGAAACAGCUGGGUGGGCUGGUGCAAGCCUGUAAUUCCAGCACUCAGG